AAAGGAAUUGACGGGGGCCCGCACAAGCGGUGGAGCAUGUGGUUUAAUUCGAAGCAACGCGAAGAACCUUACCAGGUCUUGACAUCCUUUGACCACUCUAGAGAUAGAGCUUCCCCUUCGGGGGCAAAGUGACAGGUGGUGCAUGGUUGUCGUCAGCUCGUGUCGUGAGAUGUUGGGUUAAGUCCCGCAACGAGCGCAACCCUUAUUGUUAGUUGCCAUCAUUCAGUUGGGCACUCUAGCAAGACUGCCGGUGACAAACCGGAGGAAGGUGGGGAUGACGUCAAAUCAU
rnacentral:rRNA from 1 species